rnacentral:misc_RNA from 1 species
UCUCCGUUGGUGAACCAGCGGAGGGAUCAUUACUGAGUUACCGCUCUACAACCCUUUGUGAACAUACCUAACUGUUGCUUCGGCGGGCAGAGGUCCCUCGCGGAUCUCUCCCGGCAACGCCCUCACGGGCGGAGCGCCCGCCGGAGGAUACCAAACUCUAUUUUAACGACGUUUCUUCUGGGUGGCACAAGCAAAUAAUUAAAACUUUUAACAACGGAUCUCUUGGUUCUG